GAAACCAGGCACGGGGUGGGUGGGCACCUGCCCAGAGCCAAGCAGCCUGGGAGAGGGCUCAGCUACCCAGACAGCUCUGCCGCAGAACAAGGAGGACCAGGAGGCCUCGAUUUACCCUUCAGCCCCGGGUCCCACAAAGGGCCAAGGUCAGGAACUGCCCCUUCUCUGUUCUUAAUCUCACCCCAGGACCUGGGCCAAGUAAGAGAUACAGUAGAAAACCCAGAUAAAGCCAAAAGAAAGCAACCACCUGGAAUUUCGCACCCAGAACAAACCUUUCUUCACAUGUGCACGGAUUUCUUUCUAGACUUUUCUUCAUCCAUCCAGGCAUUUUCAUACAAAAAGUGAAUCAUACCCCACAGAGAGUCUGCAACCUGCCGAGCUGUUUCCCACUCACCGCUAGAUCGUGGCUCUCUUUCGUGCCAAUGAAUAUACUUUUACAACAUCAUUCCUGCAGCUGUGCACGCACUUUGGGUGUGGCCAGAAAGUGAUUGAGGUCGACUGAGCCCCUGUAGGUUGGAUUUCUUUGGAGCAAAGGCAGAACUCUUAGUGGCUGGAAAGUCUCCGUGUGGAGCCUGAAAAAGCUGAGUCUGUGGGAAGCCAUGAAGAGAGAUGGAGGGACAGUGGGUCCUGAACCACAUUGUUUGAGCUGCUGGAUGAGGCCUUACCUGAACACUGCUAGUUUGCCUCCCUAUUCCUUGAAGACACAACAAUAUUGAAAUUAGGAAAAUUCAUAACCCUACAAUGGGCCGGGCGCCGUGGGUCACACCUAGAAUCCCAACACUUUGGGAGGCUGAGGUGGGCAGAUCACCUGAGGUUGGGAGUUCAAGACCAGCCUGACCUACAUGGAGAAACCCCAUCUCUACUAAAAAUACAAAGUUAGCCAGGCGUGGUGGUGCAGGUCUGUAAUCACAGCGACCCAGGAGGCUGAAGCAAAAGAAUCCCUUGAACCUGGGAGGUGGAGGUUGCAGUGAGCCAAGAUUGUGCCAUUGCACUCCAGCCUAGACAACGAGAGCAAAACUCCAUCUCAAAAAUAAAUAAAUAAAUAAAUAAAUAACCCCAAACGGCCUCUAUGUGCUAAAGUGAAAGGAAGAGUUGCACGUCUCUCACUUUAAAUCAAAAGUGAGAAAUGAUUAAGCUUGGUGAGGGAGGCAUGUCCAAAGCUAAGACAAGUUGAAAGCUAGGUCAAAAGUUAGCCAAAUUGUGAAGGCAAAGGAAAGGGUCUUGAAGGAUAUUAAAAGUCUUACUUCAGCAAACACAUGAGUGAUGAGAAAGUGAACCAGCCUUGUGGCUAGUGUGGAGAAAGUUUUAGUGGUCUGGAUAGAGGAUCGAGCCAGCUACAACAAUCUCUUAAACCUAAGCCUCGUCUAGGGCAAGGCCCUUGCUCUAUUCAAUUCUAAAGGCUGAGAGAGGUGAGGAAGCUGCAGAAGAAUAGUUGGAAGUGAGCAGAGGUUGGUUCAUGAGGUUUAAGGAAAGAAACCGUCCCCAUAACAUGCAAGUGUGAGGUGAAGCAGCAAGUGCUGAUGGAGAAGCUGCAGCAGGUUACCCGGAAGCUCUAGCUAAGAUCAUUGAUGAGCGUGACUACACAACAGAGCAGGUUCUUAAUGUAGAUGAAACAGCCUUCUAUUGAAAAAAGAUGUCAUCUAGAACUUUCAUAACUCGAAAGGAGAUGUCAAUGCCUGGCUUCAAAGCUUCAAAGGGGACAGGCUCUCUUGUUGGAGAUUAAUGUAGCUGGUGACUUUCAGCUGAAGCCUCUCCUCAAUUACCAUUUUGGAAAUUCUAGGGCCCUUAAGAAUGAUGCUAAAUCGACUCUGCCUAUGUUCUAUGAAUGAAGCAACAAAGCUAGAUGAGAGCACCUGUAUAUAGCUUGGUUUACUGAAUAUUUUAAGCCUAGCAUUGAGACUUACUGCUUAGAAAACAAAAUAUUCCUUUGAACAUUUCACUGCUCAUCGUCCAUACCACAGGAUCUGAGUGUUCCGCAUCCUGGAUUGAGGGCCAAAAAAAAAUUUUUUUUUUACUACUCGUUGACAAUGCACCUGUUCAUCCACGGGCUCUGAUGGAGAUGUAAAAAAGAAUUAACAUUGUUUUCAUGCCUGCUAGCACAGCAUCCAUUCUGCAGCCCAUGGAUUAAGGAGUAACUUCAACAUUCACUUCUUAUUCUUCAAUAAAUAUAUUUUAUG
rnacentral:lncRNA from 10 species